AUGCAGAGGCCGGGAGUCCCCUUUUCGGGAAAAAAAACCUUGUCCAUCAUCUGUCCUCAUGCUUGCACUUUUGUCUUGUGCCUCAAAUUUGAAUUAUUUGUACAAAUUACGAUGAGUAGCCUUCGGUCUAGUUCUAUUUUACUUACAAAUUGUGGUUCAUCCGGCACAUACAUGCAUGCUUCUCAACUAUGCCAGACCUCAAAGGCAAUGUUACAUUGUCAUGUAUGGCUCCGACGAGCGCAGCGGGAGCGCCGCGAUCUCCCGGGUGCGGGCGGACGCCGACCGCCCCACGGACAUCUCCUGCUCCACGUUCGGCGACGGCACGGGCGCCGGCGGCGCCGCCACCGACGACGCGAACGUGGACGCCACGCUGCUGCUCACGCCGCUGCCCGAGCCGCCGCCCGUGGUGGCCGUGGUCACCGUCAUGAAGCUGUCCGACGACUUGGGCGGCGGCGGCCGCUCCAGCUCCAUGAUCCCCUCCAGCAUCUGCACCACCUUCCCCAUCGUCGGCCGCUGCGACGGCUGCUCCUGGAUGCACCAGAAGCUCACCUGCAGCGCGCGCUCCACCUGCGCCAUGUCCACCUCCUCCCCGGCCAGCCGCCGGUCCACGAUGGCCAGGAGGUUCCCCUUCUCGUACUCCUCGUACGCCCACACCGAGAACUUCUUCCGGCUCGUCUCCUCCGAGAUGUCGAAGUUGCGGCGGCCGCUCACCGUCUCCAGCAGGACCAUCCCGUAGCUGUACACGUCCGACUUGACGGUGAUGGGCAGGUUGGCGAGCCACUCCGGCGCCAGGUACCCCCUGGUGCCGCGCACGCUCGUCAGCGUCCGGUGCCGGUGGUCCUUGGGGUUGAUGAGCUUGGCGAGCCCGAAGUCGGACACCUUGGCGUUGUGCUGCUCGUCGAGCAGGAUGUUCUCCGGCUUGAUGUCGCAGUGCACGAUGGUGUCCCGGCACUCCUCGUGCAGGUACGUGAUGCCGCGCGCCGUGCCCACGGCCACCGCGAACCGCGUCGCCCACGACAUCGCCUUGCCGCUGUCGCUGGUGUUGCUGCCGCCGGCGCCGAAGAGGAAGGAGUCCAGCGAGCCGUUCUUCAUGAACUCGUAGACCAGCAGGCGGUGCCGGCCCUCGGAGCAGAAGCCGAUGAGGCGGACCAGGUUGAGGUGGUGCGUGCUGCUGAUGGUCGCCACCUCCAUCCGGAACUGCUUCUCCCCCUGCUCGAUCCCCUCCAGCUGCUUCACGGCCACCACCGUCCGGUUCGCCAGCACGCCGCGGUACACCGCGCCGAACCCGCCCGCGCCCAGCUUCUCCUUGAACCCCUUGGUUGA
rnacentral:rRNA from 1 species